rnacentral:rRNA from 1 species
UACGUAGGGGGCAAGCGUUGUCCGGAUUUAUUGGGCGUAAAGAGCGUGUAGGCGGCCAGGUAGGUCCGUUGUGAAAACUCGAGGCUCAACCUCGAGACGUCGGCGGAAACCCUCUGGCUAGAGUCCGGAAGAGGAGAGUGGAAUUCCUGGUGUAGCGGUGAAAUGCGCAGAUAUCAGGAAGAACACCCGUGGCGAAGGCGGCUCUCUGGGACGGUAUUGACGCUAAGGCGCGAAAGCGUGGGGAGCAAACAGG